rnacentral:misc_RNA from 1 species
CAGCAGCAGUCGUCUCAGGUGUAGCAGUGCUUAUCACCAGCGUCGCGACGACCACUGGCAGCCAUGGUGGUGCAUCUGUUGUGGAUCAUCAACCAGUCCGGUCAACUCAUCACCAAGACGGCCUUCACGAGCCCUGAUAACAUCGGCGAACUUGGGGCCAACCCGGAUAUGCAGUUGACCUUGUCCAGCGUCCUCUUCUCAACCUGUGGCAUGUCGCAGCAACUGACGCCGAACGCCGACCCACUCGACAGCGCCUGCAUGACCCUGGUCGAGUGCGAGGAGCACAACAUCCACGUCUACGAGACCCCGACCUCGGUGAAGUUUGUGCUCUUCUCCGACAACCGAACGAUGGAGUGCACGAAUUUGUUCAAGGAGCUCCACGCCCUGUACGCGGAGUUUGCGACCAAGAACCCCUUUCAUACCGUGGACGAUGCCGGCAUUGGCCAGCCCAUUCGCAUCCCCGCGUUCACCGAAGCCAUCAGGACAACGGUGGCCAAGUACCAGCGCAUGUGAGAAGGCAGCCUCACGCCACCAGCGCAUGAUGCCUUGCUUGUGUGUGCGUGUGUGAUGCCGAAGAGGGAUGCAGAGCAGCGAUAGGUUGGCCCGAUGUGGACAGGUCUUGCUUUCCCUCUCCCAGCGCAGAACAAAAAUGCGUGCGCAUGUCUGCCGGGCCGGUACUCCCGACCAACAGAGCUGGCCGUGAGCCGUUCUUGCGUGCCCUUCUUGUCGCUACUACGUCUUGGACGUGCUACUGCUUGACGUGCGCCCAUUUUUUCUUUUGACUUUUGGUCUUCGCCGCGUGCAUUCGUAGUUGGAGUGGGGCUGAGGUCAGGCUGCCCGCACUCUUGUAUGCCUUGGUAUGUGUACCUUCGUGACGGCGUGCCCUUGCGUGGCUGCUUUCGGCACAGCAGAUAUCUGUUUCCGCAACGAAUCACAGGAUAGGCAAGGAAACCUACAGUCGGCUCUUGCGCUGGAGGAUUUAGGGUACGCAUGUGAAGCGAGUACGUGUCUUUGAUAUUCGACGCAUCUGCACGGUCAAGGAGAAGCAGCAAAGUCUCACUGACGUCGCUUCCUCAUCUCCUUUAGGCCUGCGCUGUUCUCUGACGAACGCCUUGCGUCUUGCACCGCAUAUUCGUCUUCCCUUUCGCCGCCUUUGGGCUGUGAGGCGUCUUCUCUCGCCUCUCCUUCGUCACGGUGCCCUCUUCACCGUCUGUCUCUCUGCCUCACGUCCGACAUCUCUCUCGAUACUUUUCGUUGUCUCACUGUGUGUGCGCUGGUGUGCCCUUCGGUCACCUCCCCCUCUCUCUCGCACACCGACACUCACUCUUUGACACACACGCGCACACGCCGCACGCGCUGGCAACGGCGCCGCUGUGUGGCCACUCGCUUCCCUUCGCGCUUGCCCUGCGUGGCACCCCUUUGACUCUCCCUCUUCAG